ACAGACGUCUCAGGAAACUGGGGGCAACCUGGGGGGAGCCCCGUGGGCUGUGGGAACCCCUGCCCCCGGCUUGGAAGCUGCCCACGGUGGCCUGGUUGCAGCCUGGCAGAUGAGGGGUACAUCACUACUCAGAAUAAACGGCCCCCUCUGCACCCACCUGUCUAGACGAGGGUGACAGGCACCGUCACAGGGCCCCCACCUGACACCUUCCCACCUGGCCAUGCCCCCCCAGAACUGUCAUGGAGCCCAGGAGGCGCCUGUGUGGAGCACGGGGACCUGGCAUGCUGCUGCCCCUAGAUCUCAGACUCCAUCUGAGGACCAGACCUGCUGCCUGUGCCCAGGGAGGGGCCCUGACACCCUCUGUCCCCGUCAGAACAGGGCCCCAAGCCACUGCAUUGCUCCGUCCUCACAUGCCCUCCCUUUCCUCGCAGGGGAGCCUGGAGCUGUUGGUCAGACGGGCAGCCCUGGGCAGCAGGGGGCUAGCACCCAGGGCCUCUGGGAGUGACAGGACAUUUUCUGCACUGCCCCGAGGAACGCUGAGCCUUCCUCCCUGGGUUUCUCUGGACACCGAGAGCGACCACAUCCUGGAGAAGCCAGGAGAAAAGCUCAGGAAGAGCCUGCAGGUGGAAGGAGAGAGAAGCAGCGGCCUCGGCCAAGGCCCACCCCAUGCUCUUGGCUCUGUAGCAUUUCCAAGUUCAGAUAAACCCCUGAGUGCUCACCCA
rnacentral:sRNA from 1 species